AGAGAUGUGUGAUGACGCAUAUCAAUAAGCGGAGGAAAAGAAACUAACAAGGAUUCCCUUAGUAACGGCGAGUGAAGCGGGAAGAGCUCAAAUUUGAAAUCUUCAAGGUUCUACCUUGACGAAUUGUAGUUUAUAGAAGUGUUUUCUGUUAGUAGAGUGGCAAAAGUUCUUUGGAAUAGGACAUCAUAGAGGGUGAGAAUCCCGUAUUUGGUCAUUCCUUCUAGCGUUGUGAUACACUUUCAAAGAGUCGGAUUGUUUGGGAAUGCAGUCAAAAUGGGUGGUAAAUUUCAUCUAAAGCUAAAUAUUGGCGAGAGACCGAUAGCGAACAAGUACCGUGAGGGAAAGAUGAAAAGAACUUUGAAAAGAGAGUUAAACAGUACGUGAAAUUGUCAAAAGGGAAGCGUUUGACACCAGUGUUGUUUUUCCGAAAAUCAAUUACGAAUGUUUUAGUUUUUGAGGAGUUAUGACUUCAUCGGCUUGCUUCUCUCUUUACUGAAACUUUCUUAAUGCACUUUUCGGUUAACAAGUCAACAGUCAUUUCUUUUGUUGUAAAAGGGUAUGAGGAAGGUGGCUUUCUUUUCGGAGAAAGUGUUUAUAGCCUUGUACCUCUGCAAUCGGAGAGAUUGAGGUCUGCAGCGUAGAUCCUUCGGGGUUAGAUACAUUUGUGCUAAGUUAUAGCUUUUCAUAGACAACUUGUUGACUAUGUUAGUCUUGUAGCUUACUCGCUUAUGCUAUUUUACCUACGCUUAGGAUGUUGAAGAUGUAGCACAUCAU
rnacentral:rRNA from 1 species